rnacentral:rRNA from 1 species
ACCGGCAGCUCAAGUGGUGGCCAUUUUUAUUGGGCCUAAAGCGUUCGUAGCCGGUUUGAUAAGUCUCUGGUGAAAUCCCGCAGCUUAACUGUGGGACUUGCUGGAGAUACGAUUAGACUUGAGGUCGGGAGAGGUUAGGGGUACUCCCAGGGUAGGGUUAAAAGCAUAUAUGCCUGGGGGGACAACUGGUGGCGAGGGCGCGUACUGGAACGAACCUGACGGUGAGUAACGAAAGCGAGGGGCGCGAACCG